GACGCUUGGAUCCAUUACACCAGGCCAGAAAGUUGAGGCCAGUGAAGUUAUUGCAAUAUGGCAACGGGGGGCUGAAAGAAGCCGAGGCAAGACAGAAGUCGGUUGGGAUCAGGAUAAACAACAAGGAAACACGGUACUGAAUCUUACUAAGGCUGCAGGUGAACCAAUUCCCUGGGGAAUAAUACCGGUAACCAAAAUGCCUGAAUCAUUCAAGAAUGUUUCAUGGUCCUGCCAGUCAGUUCCUAAACAAGUAGAGGUAUGGAGGGAUUUGUGCAUGACCACUCGGGCUAUGACUAAAGAGGAAUGUGAAAUGAAACCAAAUCAUUUUGGUUGGAUUCAAAAUACCAGGAGGUGUUUGAUUGCAACCCCAGUAGAUGAGCCAUGCAAUACAGUACGAAUAAGAACAA